CAGGACUAGACCCUGUCUCAACAGAUAGAGGAUGGGAAGCCAGCAUUUGUCUUUGCUACUCAAUACCAUUGCAUUUGCUGAGCAAACACAAGGGAACCAGUGAUGGGCACAGGCUCCCAGCAGCACUGUUUUUAAGUGAGGACAGGUGUAGAAAGAAAUUAAAGACACAGCAAAGGACCCAGGACCUCAGUCACAUCCCUUACUCUUACAAAUCUCAGACGGUGCCCACUCCCCACUCUCCUGGUUUCUCUGUGUAGCCUCAGGUACUGGAACUUGCUCUGUAGAGCAGACUGGCCUCAAACUCAGAUCUGCCUGUCUCUGUGUCCUGAGUGCUAGGAUCAAUGGUAUGAGCGGCUGUCACCACCACCCUGCUCUAGUAUUACAUUGAAGCCUUGGUAACAAUGGUCACACUUCCUCUCUUAAAUUCAAGCUCCUUUUUAAUGCCAGGGCUGAGGUAGUAAAGACAGAUGUCUGUUGAGUUCAAGAUCAUUCUUAUCUGUAUAAUGAUAUGUUAUGUAAAAGAUUUUAUGGCAGGGUUAAUAUCCUGAAACAGCAUUAAUUCUGUUUCCAUCUUAUCCAGGUGAUCGGAUUUGGGAUGGUUAGGAGCCUCAGUAUUAGAAAGCAGAGUGAGGUAUUAAGCUGGAUUCAUUAGCUCUUUCGGGGAGACUGACAAUGCCUAUACCUGGGUUGCACAGAGGGGUCAACAGAGGAUGCUGGGAUCCAAGAGUGCCUUAAACCUGGGUUCAUGCUUGGCCUUAUCCAGAGAACUUCAAUUACAGUGAACUUCAACAGCCAGUGAACUGUCCUGAAGUUCAAGCUUGGUUCAUCACCCCCCACUGCAUAACAGAUUCUCAACCAAGAUUGUAAAUGUAAAGGCUUGUUCUGACCACCUCUCUGUUUGCAGGAUAAUCUGCCAACCCAAGACACUUAAGAGUUAUAUAGGAGGAACAAGAGCUUGGGGCAGUGCUCACAACCUUGACUUCCUGAUCCAUGCAAUUCAGAUGCCAAGCAGCCCAGGGCAAGGCAGCCAAGUCUAACCGGAGGAAAGCUGCAACUAAUCAAAGAAGUCCAGAGAGCCUCCUUCUCCCUAAGUUUCUCUGUAGGUUGGAGACUGUUGUGGAACUCUCUUUGAAGAACAAGCUGGCCUGGAACUCACAGUGAUCUGCUUGCUUUGCUUCCAGGGUGUGUGAGAUUAAAGGAUAAUCUGCCAACCCAAGACACUUAAGAGUUAUAUAGGAGGAACAAGAACUUGGGGCAGUCCUCACAACCUUUCCUCUCUG
rnacentral:lncRNA from 1 species